rnacentral:rRNA from 1 species
CCUACGGGAGGCAGCAGUGGGGAAUAUUGCACAAUGGGCGAAAGCCUGAUGCAGCAACGCCGCGUGAGGGACGACGGCCUUCGGGUUGUAAACCUCUUUUAGCAGGGAAGAAGCGAAAGUGACGGUACCUGCAGAAAAAGCACCGGCUAACUACGUGCCAGCAGCCGCGGUAAUACGUAGGGUGCAAGCGUUGUCCGGAAUUAUUGGGCGUAAAGAGCUCGUAGGCGGUUUGUCGCGUCUGCUGUGAAAAUCCGAGGCUCAACCUCGGACCUGCAGUGGGUACGGGCAAACUAGAGUGCGGUAGGGGAGAUUGGAAUUCCUGGUGUAGCGGUGGAAUGCGCAGAUAUCAGGAGGAACACCAAUGGCGAAGGCAGAUCUCUGGGCCGUAACUGACGCUGAGGAGCGAUAGCGUGGGGAGCGAACAGGAUUAGAUACCCUGGUAGUCCACGCCGUAAACGGUGGGAACUAGAUGUGGGGUCCGUUCCACGGAUUCCGUGUCGCAGCUAACGCAUUAAGUUCCCCGCCUGGGGAGUACGGCCGCAAGGCUAAAACUCAAAGGAAUUGACGG